GGUGGCUCAGUGGUAGAGCGCUUGCCUUGCAUGCCAGAAGCCCUGGGUUCGAUUCCACAGCACCA
rnacentral:tRNA from 1 species